AUAAUAAUUUGCUUUUAGCGAUCAAUUUCCUUUAAUUUUGUUGAAAUAAGCGAUUAAACAUAAUUUUUGACUGAUUCACUUGCAAGUGAAAACGUCAUCAUCAUUCUAACCGGUAUUCAUGUGAACUUCAAGUUAACCCCUAGCUAGAGAUUGACAACGCAUGCAUUGUACGUGUACUGGUUAUUUAAAGAAAAAGAAUGUCAACAAUGAAAGUGAAACUACGGUAAAUCAUUUAAUUACUAAUUCGAUGCACAUAAAAUCAUUCUUAUAUGGUUAAAAACAAUGAGAAACAUCUAUUUUUAAUCUAUAAAAUAAAAUCAAACAGACCUAUAAAAAUGCAAUUGCACGUGUUGGUUUAAUCUAUUCGUAUCUUUAUUUUUGUUUACAUCGCUUAUAUGGUCAUCUGAGGUCAAAUCGAUAGUUAAUUAGAUGGCGUCUGGACUAAAAUACACACGAAACGAACCUAUAUAUUAUCUACCCCAUGCUCUGUAAACUGUUUAUUUUAGACUUUUGAUAGUUUGGAUAAAUGUUUUACAUUGUUAUAAACCAAAUAUGAGAAUUUGAGUCAAAUCGGUUACAAUGAAUUUGACAGCUAGUGCCCCUUUAAGAUAGAUCAGUAAACAUGGGCAUAAUUAUGGGUGAUUAUUCAGACUAGUGCACACAUUUUACAGUUCAAACAAGGCAAUACCGAGCAUGGCAUCCCCUCGUAUGUAACAUAUUGGGGACAAAUAUGGACACUAUAUUUGUAUAUGACACAUGCAGAAAAUGGUAAAUUGAAUACGCAUAUUUGAUACAUAAACUAUUUUUUUAGAAAUCAACCAAAUUAUUCAGUAACUGGAAAUACCCACGGUCUUCCGUCUUAUGAUUAAACCAAAAAUUAAAUGUACAAUAUAAUAUAUAUUCAAUAUUGAUCAAACAAUUUAAAACGCGUG
rnacentral:lncRNA from 1 species